UCCCCUACAAAUGGAAGAAAGGAGGCUUC
rnacentral:piRNA from 1 species